rnacentral:piRNA from 1 species
UAGUAUCGGGUUUUUUGGUGACUGUACA